rnacentral:rRNA from 1 species
AGCCUGAACGCUGGCGGCGUGGCUAAGACAUGCAAGUCGAACGGAUAUAGCAAUAUAUCAGUGGCGGACGGGUGAGUAAUAAAUCGCUAAUGUACCCCGGAGCCAGGGAUAGCUGCCCGAAAGGGCAGGUAAUACCUGAUGAGACCACGAACAGGCAUCUGUUUGUGCUCAAAGCCGUAAGGCACUCUGGGAGCAGGCGAUUACGUAUCAGCUUGUUGGUGAGGUAACGGCCCACCAAGGCGACGACGCGUAGCUGGUCUGAGAGGACGGCCAGCCACAUUGGGACUGAGACACUGCCCAGACUCCUACGGGGGGCUGCAGUAACGAAUCUUCCGCAAUGCACGAAAGUGUGACGGAGCGACGCCGCGUGUAGGAUGAAGUCCUUCGGGAUGUAACUACUGUCAGGGGAAGAAGUUCUGAUCUACCCAGAGGAAGAGACGGCUAACUCUGCGCCAGCAGCCGCGGUAA